UGAGGAAUAUUGGUCAAUGGGCGAGAGCCUGAACCAGCCACGUCGCGUGAAGGAAGACUGACCUUACGGUUUGUAAACUUCUUUUGUAGAGGGGUAAUGGCAGAUACGUGUAUUUGCGUGAAAGUACUCUACGAAUAAGCAUCGGCUAACUCCGUGCCAGCAGCCGCGGUAAUACGGUGGAUGCGAGCUUUAUUCGGAAUUAUUGGGUUUAAAGGGUGCGCAGGUGGCUAAUCAGGUCAGUGGUGAAAAGCUAUGGCUCAACCAUGGUCUUGCCAUUGAAACCGUAUAGCUAGAGAGGAGACGGGGUAGGCGGAAUGUGUGGUGUAGCGGUGAAAUGCAUAGAGAUCACACAGAACUCCGAUUGCGAUGGUAGCUUACCAGGCUUUAUAUGACACUAAGGCACGACAGCGUGGCGAUCAAACAGG
rnacentral:rRNA from 1 species